AACGCGAAGAACCUUACCAAGGCUUGACAUGAACCGGAAAGACCUGGAAACAGGUGCCCCGCUUGCGGUCGGUUUACAGGUGGUGCACGGUUGUCGUCAGCUUGUGUCGUGAGAUGUUGGGUUAAGUCCCGCAACGAGCGCAACCCUCGCCAUUAGUUGCCAGCAUUUAGUUGGGCACUCUAGUGGGACUGCCGGUGAUAAGCCGGAGGAAGGUGGGGAUGACGUCAAGUCAUCAUGGCCCUUACGGGCUGGGCUACACACGUGCUACAAUGGCGGUGACAGUGGGCAGCCACCCAGCAAUGGGGAGCUAAUCACAAAAAGCCGUCUCAGUUCGGAUUGGGGUCUGCAACUCGACCCCAUGAAGUCGGAAUCGCUAGUAAUCGCGGAUCAGCACGCUGCGGUGAAUACGUUCCCGGGCCUUGUACACACCG
rnacentral:rRNA from 1 species